UUUCAACUGUCAAUUGUUUUCAAUAAUUUUGUAAAAAAAUGAAAUUUGUCUGUUAGUUUAUGUUUUGAUUGUUUCCAUUUCAAAAUUAUUCAGUGUUGUCCACGUACUAGUUGUUAUAUAAAAAUUGUUGUCCUCCUUACGGUGUCUAGUAGCGACAUUUUAUCCUCCAAACAUUAUACAUAUUUAACUUACAAUUUUUUUUUUAGAUGGCAGUACAGCAGAUCAUUCAAUACAUGCUGAGACAUGAAUUCACAUUUCUACCACUAUGCUAAAUAUCAACAUCCUACGUUGAAAAUGUACUAGACGAUACUGCUAAUAAUAAUGGUUUUGUGCAACGUGCGUGUAAUGGAUGGCAGUACAGCAGAUCACUCGAGGCAUGCUGAGACCAUGAAUUCACAUUUCUAUCACUUGGGAAAGUUACAACAUCUUCCGUUGUAAAUGGAAUAGAAGAUGGCAGUAUAUCAGAUCAAUCAAGGCACGCUGAGACACGAAUUCACAUUUCUACCACCAAGGAAAGUAUCAACAUCCUAUGUUGAAAAUGGACUAGAAGAUACUGAUAAUAAUAUUGGAUUUAUGCAAUGUGCGUGCAAUGGUUAUUGAAUAUAAUUGAUACUAAAUUAAUACCUGUGAAACAAUUGAGAUUUGUUAAAUAUCUGAAUAAAAUAAUA